rnacentral:rRNA from 1 species
UUAAAGGAAUUGACGGAGGGGCACUACAAGGAAUGGAGCCUGCGGCUUAAUUUGACUCAACACGCGAAAUCUUAUCCGGCCCGGACACAGGAAGGAUUGACAGAUUAAGAGCUCUUUCUUGAUUCUGUGGAUGGUGGUGCAUGGCCGCUCUCAGUUGGUGGAGCGAUUUGUCUGAUUAAUUUCGAUAACGAUCGAGACUCUAGCCUGCUAAGUAGACGAUCCGAUCUGUUCAGUCGGACGUAUUCUUCUUAGAGGGACAAACGGCAUUGAGCCGCAUGAGAGGGA